rnacentral:rRNA from 1 species
UACGGGGGGGGCAAGCGUUGUUCGGAAUUACUGGGCGUAAAGGGCUCGUAGGCGGCCAACUAAGUCAGACGUGAAAUCCCCAGGCUCAACCUGGGAACUGCGUCUGAUACUGGAUGGCUUGAAUCCGGGAGAGGGAUGCAGAAUUCCAGGUGUAGCGGUGAAAUGCGUAGAUAUCUGGAGGAACACCGGUGACGAAGGCGGCAUCCUGGACCGGCAUUGACGCUGAGGAGCGAAAGCCAGGGGAGCAAACGGG